GACGAACGCUGGCGGCGUGCUUAACACAUGCAAGUCGAACGGGCCCGCCCCUGUUUUUGGGGGUGGGUUGAGUGGCGAACGGGUGAGUAUCACGUGAGUAACCUGCCCCCUGCUCCUGGAUAACUGCUUGAAAGGGCGGCUAAUACGGGGUGUGCCGGCUGGUCCGCAUGGGCCUGGUCGGGAUAGUUUCAUCUUCGGGUGUUUCGGUGGGGGAUGGGCUCGCGGCCUAUCAGCUUGGUGGUGGGGUGAUGGCCCACCAAGGCGGUGACGGGUAGCCGGCCUGAGAGGGUGGGCGGCCACACUGGGACUGAGACACGGCCCAGACUCCUGCGGGAGGCAGCAGUGGGGGGUAUUGCACAAUGGGCGGAAGCCUGAUGCAGCGACGUCGCGUGAGGGAUGGAGGCCUUCGGGUUGUGAACCUCUUUCUCCGGUGGUGAAGGCCCUGUCCGUUGCGGCGGGGUUGACGGUAGCCGGGUAUGAAGCGCCGGCUAACUACGUG
rnacentral:rRNA from 1 species